rnacentral:rRNA from 1 species
AUUGAACGCUGGCGGCAGGCCUAACACAUGCAAGUCGAACGAGUGGCGGACGGGUGAGUAAUGUCUGGGAAACUGCCCGAUGGAGGGGGAUAACUACUGGAAACGGUAGCUAAUACCGCAUACCAUCGGAUGUGCCCAGAUGGGAUUAGCUAGUAGGUGGGGUAACGGCUCACCUAGGCGACGAUCCCUAGCUGGUCUGAGAGGAUGACCAGCCAAACUGGAACUGAAACAGGGUCCAGACUCCAAGGGGAGGCAGCAGUGGGGAAUAUGGCACAAUGGGCGCAAGCCUAAUGCAGCCAGGCGGGGGGUAUGAAGAAGGCCUUCGGGUUGUAAAGUAUUUUCAGGGAGGAGGCGUUACUCGCAGAAGAAGCACCGGCUAAUUCCGUGCCAGCAGCCGCGGUAAUU